rnacentral:rRNA from 1 species
AUUGAACGCUGGCGGCAGGCCUAACACAUGCAAGUCGAGCGGGGUUUUCGGACCUAGCGGCGGACGGGUGAGUAAUGCGUAGGAAGCUACCCGAUAGAGGGGGAUACCAGUUGGAAACGACUGUUAAUACCGCAUAAUGUCUACGGACAAAGUGUGGGACCUUCGGGCCACAUGCUAUCGGAUGCGCCUACGUGGGAUUAGCUAGUUGGUGGGGUAAUGGCUCACCAAGGCGACGAUCCCUAGCUGGUUUGAGAGGAUGAUCAGCCACACUGGAACUGAGACACGGUCCAGACUCCGACGGGAGGCAGCAGUGGGGAAUAUUGGACAAUGGGCGCAAGCCUGAUCCAGCCAUGCCGCGUGUGUGAAGAAGGCCUUCGGGUUGUAAAGCACUUUCAGUAGGGAGGAAGGGUGUUGUGUUAAUAGCACAGCAUUUUGACGUUACCUACAGAAGAAGCACCGGCUAACUCUGUGCCAGCAGCCGCCGCCGUAA